AAGCAGGCCAAAGCGAGCAUGGAUCUCAAACAGGAGCUCCUGAUUCUCUCUGUCUUCUUGCUCUGGACCUCAGGUUUAUCUGAGGCCAGUGACGUUAAUCAAGCAGACAAACUGUGGGUAAACCAGGGAGAAAAUGCAACGUUAGCCUGCAACCACACCAAGGAUGCAGGCCACUUCCAGAUGUACUGGUACCAACAGCUUCCAGGACAACAUAUGAAGCAAAUCAUGCUCACUACUCCAAACUCUCCAGCCACAUUCGAAGCAGGUUUCAGUCAAGAGAAAUUCUCAGGCAUCAAGCCUGAUGCUCACAGGGGGGAGCUGGUGGUGAAAAACGUGGUGCCAGGAGACGAAGCCUGGUAUUUCUGUGCAGUGAGUCAACACAGUGAUGAAGAUACACUGAAGACUGUGACAAAAACCAGCUCAGCUGCUGUAGGGGGAAGUCAAGGACCAUGA